rnacentral:rRNA from 1 species
GAUGAACGCUGGCGGCGUGCCUAAUACAUGCAAGUCGAGCGAACAGAUGAGGAGCUUGCUCCUCUGACGUUAGCGGCGGACGGGUGAGUAACACGUGGAUAACCUACCUAUAAGACUGGGAUAACUUCGGGAAACCGGAGCUAAUACCGGAUAAUAUUUUGAACCGCAUGGUUCAAUAGUGAAAGACGGUUUUGCUGUCACUUAUAGAUGGAUCCGCGCCGCAUUAGCUAGUUGGUAAGGUAACGGCUUACCAAGGCAACGAUGCGUAGCCGACCUGAGAGGGUGAUCGGCCACACUGGAACUGAGACACGGUCCAGACUCCUACGGGAGGCAGCAGUAGGGAAUCUUCCGCAAUGGGCGAAAGCCUGACGGAGCAACGCCGCGUGAGUGAUGAAGGUCUUCGGAUCGUAAAACUCUGUUAUUAGGGAAGAACAAAUGUGUAAGUAACUAUGCACGUCUUGACGGUACCUAAUCAGAAAGCCACGGCUAACUACGUG